AGCUCCAAGAGCGUAUAUUAAAGUUGUUGCGGUUAAAAAGCUCGUAGUUGGAUUCCUGUUUGAACGAUUUCUAUACAGAUUAAAUCUGUGUAGUUAUCAUUAGACUUUCUUAUUGAAUCUUUGAUUCAGUUAUUUUACUUUGAAAAAAUUAGAGUGUUUCACGCAGGCAGAUUGCCAGAAUAUUACAGCAUGGGAUAAUUGAAAAGGACGUUGGCUAGAAUUUGUUGUUUUUCCAGUCAUUGUAAUGAUAAACAGGGACAGUUGGGGUUGCUUGUAUUGGAUCGCUAGGGGUGAAAUCCUAUGAUUGAUUCAGGACAAACUGCUGCGAAAGCGUUCAACAAGGAUGUUUUCACUA
rnacentral:rRNA from 1 species